rnacentral:rRNA from 1 species
ACCAAAGAGGGGGACCUCGGGCCUCUUGCCAUCGGAUGUGCCCAGAUGGGAUUAGCUUGUUGGUGGGGUAACGGCUCACCAAGGCGACGAUCCCUAGCUGGUCUGAGAGGAUGACCAGCCACACUGGAACUGAGACACGGUCCAGACUCCUACGGGAGGCAGCAUG